GUGCUCGCUUUGGUAGCACAUAUACUAAAAUUGGAACCAUACAGAGAAGAUUAGCAUGGCCCCUGAGCA
rnacentral:snRNA from 1 species